rnacentral:misc_RNA from 1 species
UCCGAUUUGUCUCUGGCAGGUUUCCCAUGCAUGUCAAGCCUAGGUAAGGUUCUUCGCGUUGCGUCGAAUUAAACCACAUGCUCCACCGCUUGUGCGGGCCCCCGUCAAUUCCUUUGAGUUUCAGCCUUGCGGCCGUACUCCCCAGGCGGGGCACUUCAUGCGUUAGCGCCGGCACCCAGGGGGUCGCUCCCCCAGGCACCUAGUGCCCAUCGUUUACGGCGUGGACUAC